CGAGGGUAAAAGAGAGUUUCAACGAGUGAUUUGUUAACAUUUUCUGCUAAGAUUUAGCAGUUUUGCCAAAAUAAUUAUUCAGCACCUUCAUAUUUAUGGUCUAAUAUUUAGAAUAAAUAUCCCAAACAUUUUGCCAACAUUAAACUAAAUAAAAUGUCAAAGUAAUAAAUAAAUGAUAACCAAUUCCAGAGCUCACACCAGUGGCGGCGCAGUCGAAUGUGUGCUACGAAAUAAAUGACAAGCCACAAUAUUGCCUGAUUUCGAUAUGCCAUAAUGCUUUCCGUCAAUACAACAGUCGGUCGGCUGAGUUUUUGUGAGUUGGUUGAUUAAUUAUUAUACGCGUAUAUGUACAUAUGUGAUUCGUAUUCAUUGUGCCGUGACCAACAAUUUUAACGCAAUCAUCAUAAAAUAAAACAUUGAUUACCAGAGCAGCUGAUACCGCACUCCAACGCUAGAAGUGACCAAUUUGCAAUUAAAAAAAGCGAUAAUGCAUUUGUAACUGUAUGCAGAAUUUGUUUCUCAAUAGAAUAUUGUUGGAAUAGCUGUCGUGGUGACAGCUCAUAAUUGUAGCAAACAAAGAAUAAUCACGCGCCAGUUUUUUAGCCUAGUUGUUGGGAAUAGGAAAUUAAAAACGCGCCUACUGCUGGUGGAGGACAAAAUUGAAAACCAUUCCGUCUUAAAUAACGCUAUCAAAGUGAUUGCCAACGAACACUACUGCUUCCCUAUCUAAAUAUUUUUUUGUUUUCGUCAAGAUUUGGUGCGGUGCCAGUGCGGUAUUGCUAUUGCUUUGGUAACUUGACUAUUGGGGAAAUAUACUCACUCAGCAAGCGUGAAAUUAUUUAAAAAUUCCAAAAUUCAAUAGAUUAUUUUUACUUUAGAGACGUAAAUAUCAGUCAUUUCGAUCAUCAAAAAGAUCGCAAUCUUAUUUUGAUAGCGCGAAAAAGUAAAUAGUUAAAAAGAAAAAUUGAACAAAUAAGAAAAUCGGUCAUCGAUUAUAAAACAAUGCUGUGAGUGUGUGUGUUGAGCGAAACAAAAAUAAAAUAAUCUAAAGGAACAAGAAUAGCUUCACAUACAUGUGUACAUACCUACAUAUGUAUGUAUGUUAAAAUUUCGCGCGAAGCUAGUGCAAACGAAAAUUUAAUGAGGAGAAUAUUUGAAUCACCAUUUUGAGGUACUUUGUCUCAUUCGCUUUACAUUUACCUGCAAAAAAAAAAUAAAAUUAAGUCAGCUGGUGCAACACCUGAUAACACCAAUAACAAAUAAACACUGUAAAAAGACAGAGCAUCAACAGCACACUCGAAUUUGCAGCCUACGAGUAGCAACAAUUAACUAAGAAACCGAUCAAUUUAAAAAACGUUCGCAAAUUUGCAAUCGAGCACUUCAAACGCAGACGUGAUCCACACGGCAACGCAGCCAGAUCAUC